UAUUCUGACCAAUCAGGACAGUUCUGUUUGAAUCAAUCAAACUGCAAGGAUUUGGAGUCCUCAUUUGCACCAGGACAG